rnacentral:rRNA from 1 species
UACAGAGGUCCCAAGCGUUGUUCGGAUUCAUUGGGCGUAAAGGGUGCGUAGGCGGCGCGGUAAGUCGGGUGUGAAAUCUCCGGGCUUAACCCGGAAACUGCCAUUGAUACUAUCUGUCUUGAAUACCGUGGAGGUGAGCGGGAAUAUGUCAUGUAGCGGUGAAAUGCUUAGAUAUGACAUAGAACACCAAUUGCGAAGGCAGCUCACUACACGAAUAUUGACACUGAGGCACGAAAGCAUGGGGAUCAAACAGG